ACACCGGCAGCUCAAGUGGUAGCCGCUUUUAUUGGGCCUAAAGCGUCCGUAGCCGGUCUGAUAAGUCUCUGGUGAAAUCCCACAGCUUAACUGUGGGAAUUGCUGGAGAUACUAUCAGGCUUGAGGUCGGGAGAGGUUAGAGGUACUCCCAGGGUAGGGGUGAAAUCCUAUAAUCCUGGGAGGACCACCUGUGGCGAAGGCGUCUAACUGGAACGAACCUGACGGUGAGUAACGAAAGCCAGGGGCGCGAACCGGAUUAGAUGCCCGGGUAGUCCUGGCCGUAAACGAUGUGGACUUGGUGUUGGGAUGGCCUCGAGCUGCCCCAGUGCCGAAGGGAAGCUGUUAAGUCCACCGCCUGGGAAGUACGGUCGCAAGACUGAAACUUAAAUGAAUUGGCGGGG
rnacentral:rRNA from 1 species